UGCGGUACAGGGUAAACCAUAUCGUGCAAGUCGAGCGCCACAUUUUAUUGGUGCUUGCACCUUUAAAAUUUUAGCGGCGGACCGUUGAGUAACACGUGGGUAACCUACCUUAUAGAUUGGGAUAACUCCGGGAAACCGGGGCUAAUACCGAAUAAUACUUUUUAACACAUGUUUGAAAGUUGAAAGACGGUUUCGGCUGUCACUAUAAAAUGGACCCGCGGCGCAUUACCUAGUUGGGGAGGUAACGGCUCACCAAGGCAACGAUGCGUACCCAACCUGAAAGGGUGAUCGGCCACCCUGGGACUGAAACACGGCCCAAACUCCUACGGGAGGCAGCAGUAGGGAAUCUUCCACAAGGGACAAAAGUCUGAUGGACCACCGCCGCGGGAGUGAAAAAGGAUUUCGGUUCGUAAAACUCUGUUGCAAGGAAAAAACAAGUAGCGUAGUACCUGGCGCUACCUUGACGGUACCUUGUUAAAAAGCCACGGCUAACUACGUGCCACCAGCCGCGGUAAUACGUAGGUGGCAAGCGUUGUCCGAAAUUAUUGGGCGUAAAGCGCGCGCAGGUGGUUCCUUAAGUCUGAUGUGAAAGCCCCCGGCUCACCCGGGGAGGGUCAUGGGAAACUGGGGAACUGGAGUGCAGAAGAGGAUAGUGGAAUUCCAAGUGUAGCGGUGAAAUGCGUAGAGAUUUGGAGGAACACCAGUGGCGAAGGCGACUGUCUGGUCUGUAACUGAACACUGAGGCGCGAAAGCGUGGGGAGCAAACAGGAUUAGAUACCCUGCUAGUCCACGCCGUAAACGAUGAGUGCUAAGGUGUUGGGGGGUUUCCGCCCCUCAGUGCUGCAGCUAACGCAUUAAGCACUUCGGCCUGGGGAGUACGGUCGCAAGACUGAAACUCAAAGGAAUUGACGGGGGCCCGCACAAGGCGGUGGGAGCAUGUGCUUUAAUUCGAAGCAACGCGAAGAACCCUUACCAGGGUCUUGACAUCCCGGUGACCACUAUGGAAGACAUAGCUUCCCCUUCGGGGCCAACGGGUGACAGGGUGGGUGCAUGGUUGUCGUCAGCUCGUGUCGUGAGAUGUUAGGGUUAAGUCCCGCAACGAAGCGCAAUCCUUUAUUUCUUAGUUGCCAUUCAUUCAGUUGGGCACUCCUAAGGGAGAACUGUGCCGGGUUGAUAAACCCGGAAGGGAG
rnacentral:rRNA from 1 species